rnacentral:lncRNA from 1 species
UAUUAUUAUUAUAUUAUUAUUAUUGGUGGGCUUAAAAAAACACGCCAGAUAUUUGUAUUUAGAUUCAUUCAAACUUUAGCCAAAUUCAAACAAAUUCAGAUUUCAAACAAAAAGAUAAACUCUACCCAGCGGUCUAAAUGCUUGGCCCAAUCUAAAAUAAUUUUCCUUAAUUGACCCUACACGCCAUAAGUCUAUAUGAGGCCUAAGCCUAAUCUACAAACCUAUAAAUGAUGCAACCCCAUUAGUACGGGUGUUCGCAGAUUGGAUUUUGCGGAUUGAGUAUCAAUCCAUAUACGAUCCACGAUUUUACAGAAUAUAAAUUUUCAAUUCAAUCCAAUGCACGGAUUGGUGAAACUCAAUUCAAAUCCAAUCCAUACAUAUGUGGAUUGGAUACAGAUUUGACCUAAUCUAUAUCCAUUCCACUAUUUUGUAGAUUUUUUUGCAGACUAAAAAUUUUUAAUUCUUUCCAAUCCAC